UGGGGAAUAUUGCACAAUGGAGGAAACUCUGAUGCAGCAACGCCGCGUGAACGAAGAAGGCUUUCGGGUCGUAAAGUUCUGUUAUAGGGGAAGAAGAAGUGACGGUACCCUAUGAGAAAGCCACGGCUAAUUACGUG
rnacentral:rRNA from 1 species